GUUUACCAGGCUAUGGUAGUAUAGGGUUAGCACUUAGCACUAGUUUCAACUUGGAAGAAUUUCCAUAAAAGGAGUCAAGGAUUCUAGUUUCCUGUCAAGUUUUACUGUUGCAAUUAUGCAAGCAUUUUCCACUGUGAUACAAAAGUCUUCAAGCUUCAGCUAAUAAUUUUUCUGGUUCCACAGUUCUUAACCUCUUACUGAGCCAGAGUUUCAAAUGUCAAGAUGAUGAUACUUUAUACUAUCCUAUGGUGCACCAUAAAUUUCUAAGAUAUAUCCGCUUCAUUUUCAGGUUUGUCUCUCUCUUUGCCCUCCCGACUUUUGGACCAUGAGUGUUUCAUGCUCUUGAAUUUUCUAUUUGCAGAAGCUCCUCAAUGGUUGAUGUAAUUUUCCAUUGAAAUUCCCAAGUUAGAUGAAUUGUCUAAUGGUUCAGUUGGGAAUUCUACUACUCCAUCAAGGGCACCUAAAUCUGCUGCCAGAAAAUUUAUGGCCACUGAUUCUAUUCUUCAUAGUUAUGGCAGAUAACUCUAGAGGAAUUUGUUGAGCUUCAAAGCUUGGGACUGAAACCAAGCAGCAGUUCCCAAGUAGAGCCAUGCUUGACUCAUGUUUACAGUGGGUCUUAGCAUUGGAAAGGAGAAAUAAUUUUGAAUUUAUAGGAGUUGGGAAAAACAGAAUGAGACAUCUUUAGUUUUUGUUGUAGUUAGAUUUUGAUUUUUGUCAAUUGAUAGCUAAUUAUGAUUUUUGGCCAGUUGAAUAUAAAACUACCCUGAUUUUAGUCAAUUGAUAACUAAUGUAGUUGUAGUCUAUCAUGACAAAAGCUUCCACAAAUUCAAUGACACCAUUAGUCUCUCUUUCA